rnacentral:rRNA from 1 species
CUUGACAUCCAGCGAAUUCGGUAGAGAUACCUUAGUGCCUUCGGGAACGCUGAGACAGGUGCUGCAUGGCUGUCGUCAGCUCGUGUUGUGAAAUGUUGGGUUAAGUCCCGCAACGAGCGCAACCCUUAUCCUUUGUUGCCAGCGGUCCGGCCGGGAACUCAAAGGAGACUGCCAGUGAUAAACUGGAGGAAGGUGGGGAUGACGUCAAGUCAUCAUGGCCCUUACGAGUAGGGCUACACACGUGCUACAAUGGCGCAUACAAAGAGAAGCGACCUCGCGAGAGCAAGCGGACCUCAUAAAGUGCGUCGUAGUCCGGAUUGGGGUCUGCAACUCGACUCCAUGAAGUCGGAAUCGCUAGUAAUCGUAGAUCAGAAUGCUACGGUGAAUACGUUCCCGGGCCCUGUACACACCGCCCGUCACACCAUGGGAGUGGGUUGCAAAAGAAGUAGGUAGCUUAACCUUCGGGAGGGCGCUUACCACUUUGUGAUUCAUGACUGGGGUGAAGUCGUAACAAGGUAGGCGUAGUGCU